GACGGAGGAUGCAAGCGUUAUCCGGAAUUAUUGGGCGUAAAGCGUCCGCAGGUGGCUGUUCAAGUCUGCUGUCAAAGCGCAGAGCUUAACUCUGUACAGGCGGUGGAAACUGAAGAGCUAGAGUAUGGUAGGGGUAGAGGGAAUUCCCGGUGUAGCGGUGAAAUGCGUAGAUAUCGGGAAGAACACCAGUGGCGAAGGCGGCGAUCUGGGAAGAUACUGACGCUGAGGUGCGAAAGCGUGGGGAGCAAACAGG
rnacentral:rRNA from 1 species